rnacentral:rRNA from 1 species
CCAAGGCUAAAUACUCCUGGCUGACCGAUAGUGAACCAGUACCGUGAGGGAAAGGCGAAAAGAACCCCGGAGAGGGGAGUGAAAUAGAACCUGAAACCGUGUACGUACAAGCAGUCGGAGCCCUCUUUGUGGGGUGACGGCGUACCUUUUGUAUAAUGGGUCAGCGACUUAAUUUCAGUAGCGAGGUUAACCGUUUAGGGGAGCCGUAGGGAAACCGAGUCUUAAUAGGGCGUUUAGUUGCUGGGAUUAGACCCGAAACCGGGCGAUCUAUCCAUGGGCAGGUUGAAGAUGCGGUAACACGCAUUGGAGGACCGAACCGACUACCGUUGAAAAGUUAGCGGAUGACCUGUGGAUCGGAGUGAAAGGCUAAUCAAGCUCGGAGAUAGCUGGUUCUCCCCGAAAGCUAUUUAGGUAGCGCCUCGGACGAAUACCACUGGGGGUAGAGCACUGUUUCGGCUAGGGGGUCAUCCCGACUUACCAAACCGAUGCAAACUCCGAAUACCAGUGAGUACUAUCCGGGAGACACACGGCGGGUGCUAACGUCCGUCGUGAAGAGGGAAACAACCCAGACCGCCAGCUAAGGUCCCCAAAUUCCAGUUAAGUGGGAAACGAUGUGGGAAGGCUCAGACAGCUAGGAGGUUGGCUUAGAAGCAGCCACCCUUUAAAGAAAGCGUAAUAGCUCACUAGUCGAGUCGGCCUGCGCGGAAGAUGUAACGGGGCUCAAACUGGAUACCGAAGCUGCGGCAGCAGACUUGUUCUGCUGGGUAGGGGAGCGUUGUGUAAGCCUGUGAAGGUGUGUUGAGAAGCAUGCUGGAGGUAUCACAAGUGCGAAUGCUGACGUGAGUAACGAUAAUGGGGGUGAAAAACCCCCACGCCGAAAGACCAAGGUUUCCUGCGCAACGCUAAUCGGCGCAGGGUGAGUCGGCCCCUAAGGCGAGGCAGAAAUGCGUAGCUGAUGGGAAACGGGUUAAUAUUCCCGUACUUCUUAUAACUGCGAUGGAGAGACGGAGAAGGCUAUGCCUACCGGGCGUUGGUUGUCCCGGGGAAAGGCUGUAGGCUGAGGUGUUAGGCAAAUCCGGCACCUUAAGGCUGAGAGUCGAGACCACUGGUCCUUUGUGACCGGGAAGUGGUUGAUGCCAUGCUUCCAGGAAAAUCUUCUAAGCUUCAGGUUAUAAGGAACCG